rnacentral:tRNA from 1 species
GCUAGUGUAGCUUAAUUUAAAGUAUGGCACUGAAGAUGCUAAGAUAGAAAUUAAAAAUUUUUCGCAGGCA